rnacentral:rRNA from 1 species
GAUGAACGCUAGCGGCAGGCCUAACACAUGCAAGUUGAGGGGCAGCACAUAAAGUGGUUUACUACUUUUGGUGGCGACCGGCGGACGGGUGCGUAACGCGUGUGCAACCUGCCUCCAACAGGGGGAUAACGGAGAGAAAUUUCCACUAAUACCCCAUAAUAUCAGAAUCGGCAUCGGUUUUGGUUGAAAACUCCGGUGGUUGGAGAUGGGCAUGCGUUGUAUUAGAUAGUUGGUGAGGUAACGGCUCACCAAGUCAACGAUACAUAGGGGGACUGAGAGGUUAGCCCCCCACACUGGUACUGAGACACGGACCAGACUCCUACGGGAGGCAGCAGUGAGGAAUAUUGGUCAAUGGGGGCAACCCUGAACCAGCCAUGCCGCGUGCAGGGAGACGGCUCUAUGAGUUGUAAACUGCUUUUACAAGGGGAUAAAUCGGUGUACGUGUACACCGUUGAAGGUACCUUGGGAAUAAGGAUCGGCUAACUCCGUGCCAGCCGCCGCAGUAA